CGGGGAAUAUUGCGCAAUGGGGGAAACCCUGACGCAGCAACGCCGCGUGGGUGAAGAAGGCCUUCGGGUUGUAAAGCCCUUUCGGCCGGGAAGAAGGGUGACAUUGCUAACAUCGAUGUCAUUUGAUGGUACCGGAGGAAGAAGCACCGGCUAACUUCGUGCCAGCAGCCGCGGUAAUACGAAGGGUGCAAGCGUUGUUCGGAAUUAUUGGGCGUAAAGGGUUCGUAGGCGGGAGAGCGAGUUGAGUGUGAAAACCCUGGGCUUAACCUAGGACGUGCAUUCAAGACUGUUUUUCUUGAGUAUGGGAGAGGGUGGUGGAAUUGCUGGUGUAGGAGUGACAUCCGUAGAGAUCAGCAGGAACGCCGGAGGCGAAAGCGACCACCUGGCCCGUAACUGACGCUGAGGAACGAAAGCGUGGGGAGCAAACAGG
rnacentral:rRNA from 1 species